UACGGUGGAUGACAAAAUGGCCAGUCGCUCCUUUUGGGUAGGAGAGAUAUUGCGCGUUCGAGUCGCGCCUACCGUGU
rnacentral:tRNA from 1 species